rnacentral:rRNA from 1 species
CAAGUCGAGCGGACAGAUGGGAGCUUGCUCCCUGAUGUUAGCGGCGGACGGGUGAGUAACACGUGGGUAACCUGCCUGUAAGACUGGGAUAACUCCGGGAAACCGGGGCUAAUACCGGAUGCUUGUUUGAACCGCAUGGUUCAGACAUAAAAGGUGGCUUCGGCUACCACUUACAGAUGGACCCGCGGCGCAUUAGCUAGUUGGUGAGGUAACGGCUCACCAAGGCGACGAUGCGUAGCCGACCUGAGAGGGUGAUCGGCCACACUGGGACUGAGACACGGCCCAGACUCCUACGGGAGGCAGCAGUAGGGAAUCUUCCGCAAUGGACGAAAGUCUGACGGAGCAACGCCGCGUGAGUGAUGAAGGUUUUCGGAUCGUAAAGCUCUGUUGUUAGGGAAGAACAAGUGCCGUUUCAAUAGGGGCGGGACCUUGACGGUACCUUACCCAGAAAGGCACGGGCUAAACUACUUGCCAACAGCCCCCGGUAAUACUUAGGUGGGAAGGCGUUGUCCGGAAUUUAUUGGGGCGUAAAGGGGCUCGCAGGGGGGUUUCUUUAAUUCUGAUGUGAAAGCCCCCCGGCUUAACCGGGG